rnacentral:rRNA from 1 species
UACGAAGGGGGCUAGCGUUGUUCGGAAUUACUGGGCGUAAAGGGCGCGUAGGCUGUGCUGUAAGUCAGGCGUGAAAGGCCCGGGCUCAACCUGGGAACUGCGUUUGAUACUGCGGCGCUGGAAUGCAGGAGAGGAUGGCGGAAUUCCCAGUGUAGAGGUGAAAUUCGUAGAUAUUGGGAAGAACACCGGUGGCGAAGGCGGCCAUCUGGCCUGCAAUUGACGCUGAGGCGCGAAAGCGUGGGGGAGCAAACAGG